GAGCAGCAAAGAACAGAAUGGAGUUCUCUUGUUGGUGAAUUCUAUCCCAGGAACUUCCACUUUGGGUCUUGAAAGGCUGCCUCUGUGUAUGUAUAUUUCUGUGCACAGGCUUCUGGAUUGGAGCAAGCUGUGUGACAGACAUCAGUCAAGGGGACAAGGGACUCCUGAGGAGUGAGGCCUUGGAUAUACUGUAACCCCAGCAGGUCAGGGUCAUGGGUCGCCUAGAUGACUAUGCCAAGAAGCGAAUCGUGGAGCUUCGGAAAGCAGGGCUGAGUUUUCGAAAGAUCAAGAAGGUCCUGGAGCUUGACAACAUCCGUGUCACACCACAGGCCAUCUAUCUUUUCUUGAAACGGAAGAAUAUGGAUCCUGGCCCCCUGCCUGGCAGCAGCCAUCCCCUCCCUCCCAGGGACCAGAACAGUCGGCUGCUGGCACUCAGGAGAGCUGGCUGGGAGGAUGAGCAGCUUUGGGACUUGUUGCAGGAGAGCGAGGUGGAGCCAAAGGAAUCCUUGGAAAGCCAGCCAGCUGGGCCUAGGGGAGAGACUGGAGCUGGUCAGAGCUGGGAUGGCGAAGAGGGCAUUAAGAUUGUCAGUGUGAGAUCUCUGUGUGAGGAUGGUGUAGCCCACCCCAAGGAUGCUUGUUCCAGUGAGGUUCCCCGAGCCUCAGCUAACAGUGAUGCUGGUAUUGGGCUGGUGGCUCCUGGUCCAGUGAGCCAGCCUGCUUCCCCUCAUCCACUGAAUCGGGGGCGGGCAUGUAUGCCUUCCCCACGGAACUCUGCCCUCAUUGUCAAGAAGAAGAUUGUGGACAGAGCCAUCUAUCUCCACAAAAAAGUUCAGGACAUGAGCACUCAGACCCGUCUGCCUUGUGCCAGUGCCCAGGGCUUGGCUGAGAAGCUGGAUGCGGUACAGGGGGCUGUGCAGCAGGUCCUGCAGGUGCUCCAAAUGCUGACAGAUCAACAGAGCCGGCUGGAACGGCAGCAGGAGCAGCAGCAGCGUUGGCAGCAGCAAGUGCUGGGUACUCUGCAGCAGCUUAGGGAGCCCACCCACAGUCAGGGCCCUGGAGCCAGGGAAACCCAGGACCUAGGGAACCUUGGGACUCUGGAAGGACCUAAUUUCUGCCAAUUUAAGAUGGAACUUCUUUGA
rnacentral:lncRNA from 1 species